rnacentral:rRNA from 1 species
CCUACGGGUGGCAGCAGUGAGGAAUAUUGCUCAAUGGGCGCAAGCCUGAACCAGCCAUGCCGCGUGGAGGAAGACGGCCCUAUGAGUUGUAAACUGCUUUUGUACGGGAGUAAAUGCAGGUACGUGUACCUGUCUGAAAGUAUCUUAUGAAUAAGGAUCGGCUAAAUCCGGGCCAGCAGCCGCGGUAAUCCGGAGGAUCCAAGCGUUAUCCGGGUUUAUUGGGUUUAAGGGGUGCGUAGACGGUCGGGUAAGUCAGACGUGAAAGCCCGAGGCUCAACUGCGGAAUUGCAUUUGAUACUGGUCGGCUAGAGAGCAGGUGAGGUAGGCGGAAUGCGUGGGGUAGCGGUGAAAUGCUUAGAGAUCACGAAGAACACCGAUUGCGAAGGCAGCUUACUAAACUGCUACUGACGUUGAGGCACGAAAGCGUGGGGAGCAAACAGGAUUAGAUACCCGGGUAGUC